UACGUAGGGUCCAAGCGUUAUCCGGAAUCACUGGGCGUAAAGCGUGCGUAGGUGGCGUGUUAAGUGUGAUGUUAAAUCGCGGGGCUCAACCCUGUCGGUGCAUCGCAUACUGGCAUGCUAGAGGAAAGCAGAGGCAAGUGGAAUUGGUAGUGUAGCAGUGAAAUGCGUAGAUAUUACCAGGAACACCAAUGGCGAAGGCAGCUUGCUGGGCUUUUUCUGACACUGAGGUACGAAAGCGUGGGAGCGAACAGG
rnacentral:rRNA from 1 species